UUCGUCCAAUUGAAGCAGAGGACAGUGGCGGACGGGUGAGUAACGCGUGAGGAACCUGGCUCUAAGAGGGGGACAACAGUUGGAAACGACUGCUAAUACCGCAUAACGUAUCGGGAUGGCAUCUUCCUGAUACCAAAGAUUUUAUCGCUUAGAGAUGGGCUCGCGUCUGAUUAGAUAGUUGGUGAGGUAACGGCCCACCAAGGCGACGAUCAGUAGCCGGACUGAGAGGUUGAACGGCCACAUUGGGACUGAGAUACGGCCCAGACUCC
rnacentral:rRNA from 1 species